AAAGUUUGAUCCUGGCUCAGGAUGAACRCUGGCGGCGUGCUUAKCAYAUGCAAGUCGAACGAACAUGUCUUUCGGGAUAUGUUAGUGGCAGACGGGUGCGUAACACGUAGGUGACCUGCCCUGGAGUGGGGAAUAACUAUCCCAACGGAUAGCUAAUACCGCAUAUGCUCGGUGAUUCAUUUUGCCGAGUAAAGUCGAAAGGCGCUUCAGGAUGGGCCUGCGGCGGAUUAGGUAGUUGGUGGGGUAACGGCCUACCAAGCCGAUGAUCCGUAGGGGGCGUGAGAGCGUGGCCCCCCACACUGGCACUGAGAUACGGGMCAGACUCCUACGGGAGGCAGCAGUGAGGAAUAUUGCGCAAUGGGCGAAAGCCUGACGCAGCAACGCCGCGUGAGGGACGAAGGCCUUCGGGUCGUAAACCUCUUUUCUGGGGAAAGAGCAAGGACGGUACCUCAGGAAUAAGUCUCGGCUAACUACGUGCCAGCAGCCGCGGUAAAACGUAGGAGGCGAGCGUUAUCCGGAUUUACUGGGCGUAAAGCGCACGCAGGCGGCUUCGUUAGUCGGGUGUGAAAGCUCCUAGCUUAACUGGGAGAGGCCACUCGAUACUGCGAGGCUUGAGGUUGGGAGAGGGGUGUGGAAUUCCCGGUGUAGUGGUGGAAUGCGUAGAUAUCGGGAGGAACACCUGUGGCGAAAGCGGCACCCUGGCCCACACCUGACGCUGAGGUGCGAAAGCGUGGGGAGUAAACAGGAUWAGAUACCCUGGUAAUCCACGCUGUAAACGAUGUCAACUGGGUGUCGGUAGCUUUACGCUAUCGGUGCCSAARCAAACGCGUUAAGUUUGACCGCCUGGGGACUACGGCCGCAAGGGCUAAAACUCAAAGGGAUUUGACGGGGGCCCGCMCAAGCASCGGAGCKKGUGGUUUAAUUCGAUGCMACMCGAAGAAYCUUUACCCAGGUUUGACAUGGUCGUAGUAGUGAACCGAAAGGAAACGAGCCUUCUUGCCAGUCAUCACAGGUGYUGCAUGGUUGAUSUYMGCUCRUGUUCGUGAAAUKUGGUUWAGUUCCSACRGASGCAACCCUGCUGCAUUMAUGUKUCUUGGGGAACUSCCGGAUCAAGCCCKARAGAAGUUGGGAU
rnacentral:rRNA from 1 species